ACUUAUUCUCCCUUUGUUGACUAAGUCAAUAAUCAGAAUCAGCAGGUUUGGAGUCAGAUUGACAGGGAUAAGCAGCCUAGCUCGGGAGAGGUGAGUAUAAAACCCCAUGCUGGAAACAACCAUCACAGAAGUUCACGCGUCCCAGGCAGGAUGGCUUCUCAUCGUCUGCUCUUACUUUGCCUUGCUGGACUGGUAUUUGUGUCUGAGGCUGACCCUGCGGGCCCUGGGGAAUCCAAGUGUCCUCUGAUGGUCAAAGUACUAGAUGCCGUCCGAGGCAGCCCUGCUGUCAAUGUGGCUGUGAAAGUAUUUAAAAGGGCUGCUGACGAGACUUGGGAGCCAUUCGCCUCUGGGAAAACCAGUGAGUCUGGAGAGCUCCACAGGCUCACAACUGAUGAGGCAUUUGUAGAAGCGGUGUACAAAGUGGAAUUAGACACCAAAUCCUACUGGAAGGCGCUUGGCAUCACCCCGUUCCAUGAAUACGCGGAGGUGGUGUUCACAGCCAACGACGCGGGUCCCCGUCGCUACACCAUCGCGGCUCUGCUCAGCCCCUACUCCUACUCCACCACGGCCGUCGUCAGCAACCCCAAGGAAUGAGGGACUUUUCUUCCAGCGAAUCUGAAGGAAGAGGGACAGGAUUUCAUGUAACCAAUAGUAUUCCAUUUUUACGAAAGCAGUGUUUUCACCUUAUAAGCUACUUUAGAAACUCAGGCAAAGGCAAUAAAACAUUCCCGUUGAACAAAAAAAAAAAAAUAAAAAAAAAAAACAUGUUC